CCCUCAAAUUAAAUGGACACGUCUGAUGACGAGUAUGCACUUGCAGGACAAUGGGCGAGGGAGGCAGAAUUAGUUUUAAAUGGACCACCCUUGGGCCGGAAAUGUGUCACUCAUUCAUCCCGCGACGAUUGUGUUUUCAACCAACGGUAACUUUUUAUUUAUUUAACUAGGCAAGUCAGUUCUUAAAUUAAACAAAUUCUUAUUUUGGACUCAAUGACGGCCUACCAAAAGGCCCCUUGCGGGGACGGGGGCUGGGAUUAAAUUUAAAAAACAAAUAUAGGACAAAACACAUCACGAGAGACAACACUUCGUAAAGAGAGAGCUAAGACAACAUAACGUGGUAGCAACACAUGGUACAAACAGUAUUGGCCAAAGUCAACAGCACAAAGGCCAAGAAGGUAGAGACAACAAUACAUCAUACAAAGCAGCUACAACUGUCAGUAAAAGCCCCGGAGUGAUCAUAGUGUAACGACCCUGGGUUUAGAAGCGUGGAUAUCGACUCUGCCGUAUGCUUUUGCGGGCUAGAAGGUCGAUGGUUUGAGACCUGCCCCCUGCCUGUUUCAUAACAGUACUUAUACAAAGCCGACUAAAAACGAGGACUGAGUACCUGAAGUUGCAAACUUCCCUUACUUGACUAAUCAUUUGGCCCACCCUCCAAUAUGGCGAGGGUAAGUGGACGAGGGUGUGUCUUUAAAGUGUUUGGACCGGAUCCAAUAAUUGGCACAGUUCAGUCAGUCUGUUAGCGAAGUGUUUUUUUCAUGAACAGCCUUCUAGUUGGGACAGUGACGUCAUCAGCUGCACUGGUACCGUUAAAACAUGUUUUAUGAGGGAGUAGAAUGUCAGAUUUAGGGAGGCUGUAAAAAAAUGUUACGGAUAAGUAGAAGAGUCGUGUCUACUCAAACACAUGAAUAAAGACGUGCAGGAGACAUGAGAAAGGGUUGUCUACUCAAACUAAAUGAGUAAAUGGCAGUCGUCUCCCCGUCAUGAUGGUGGUUAGAGCGUUGGACUAGUAACCGAAAGGUUGCAAGAUCGACAUUGAAAAUAAGAAUUUGUUCUAGUUAAAGGUAAAAAAAGAAAACAAAAAAAGAGUCCAGACAGGGUAACUACACUGAGGGGGCAAAGGAGAUAAUACCACUUCUGUCAUGGAACCUGAAUCACAUUUCUGUUAAAGAGCACAACAACCCUUAUACUGUGCCCCCCUUAAGGACAAGUCGUUGUCACAUUCAUAGAACAGUGGUUUUAGUUGUGUGGUAGACAUUCUGGAACAUUGGAGACUAAUCACCUUUCACAUGUUAUUUUCUAAUAAUCAACAUUAAAUUGUCAUAGCAGCUGUAUUAGUGAGAUGCAUAUUCAUCCAUUGAACCCAUGUAAAGUGGCCUGCUGUAGCCUUAAACAAUUUCAUUGCACACUAAGAAAUAAAAUACACUUGAAGGUGAUUCCGCAAGAAACAUUGUUCUAAAGCAAAUGCAGUGACUCAAAGUUGGCUACCACUGUUUGAAAGCAAUCCAAAUAGUUAUUGAGUUCCUCUUCUUAGAUGCUUAACAGUUUGACUGUGGUUCCCUCUAUGCAUUACACUUUAAUUAUGGUCAGAUACUGUAUUUCACCGUACAAUUUACUGUGGCUUUCUCUCUGCUCUCGGAGAGGAAUACACAAGGCACAGAGUCGUAAAACAGGGAGGCAAAACUCCCUUCGAUGUACAUUUUCUUUUUCUACAUUUAAUAUGAUAAACUAGGCCCUGUACAGUCCACUUUAGUGAGUACAAUAAUUAUUUUACAAUUUAUACACAUUAAAACAUGGUGCUAAAUUGGUUCCAAUUGAAAUGCAGUAAAGAAAAAAAAUGUACUUCCCCCUUGUGAUCUGCAUAGGGAGGAACCUACAAUUCCAAGGAUAAAUAUUUUCUGGGCUGAUGAUCCAAUUUUACAAUAGGCCCCAUUGAAGAAGAAAAAAAUGAAACCCCCCCCCCCCUGAAUAGGGCAUGUGACUUCUCCCACCACUCC